rnacentral:tRNA from 1 species
GCGCCUAUAGCUCAGCAGGAUAGAGCGUCCGCCUCCUAAGCGGAAGGCCGGUGGUUCGAAUCCACUUAGGCGCGCCA